rnacentral:rRNA from 1 species
AACGAACGCUGGCGGCAUGCCUAACACAUGCAAGUCGAACGAGACCUUCGGGUCUAGUGGCGCACGGGUGCGUAACGCGUGGGAACCUGCCCUUAGGUUCGGAAUAACUCCCCGAAAGGGGUGCUAAUACCGGAUAAUGUCUUCGGACCAAAGAUUUAUCGCCUUUGGAUGGGCCCGCGUUGGAUUAGCUAGUUGGUAGGGUAAAAGCCUACCAAGGCGACGAUCCAUAGCUGGUCUGAGAGGAUGAUCAGCCACACUGGGACUGAGACACGGCCCAGACUCCUACGGGAGGCGGCAGUGGGGAAUAUUGGACAAUGGGCGAAAGCCUGAUCCAGCAAUGCCGCGUGAGUGAUGAAGGCCUUAGGGUUGUAAAGCUCUUUUACCCGGGAUGAUAAUGACAGUACCGAGAGAAUAAGCGCCGGCUAACUCCGUG